ensembl:lncRNA
CCCGCCUCCUCCAAUCAGCGGCCGGCCUGCCGGGCAGGGGUUAACCAGGGGACCCCGCGCAGGCGAAGGAGGCCGCCGCCUCGCCGGGCGGCUGAGGGCGGGCUGACGGGCGGCGCCGACGGACGCACCGCGACGCGAGGGGAGGUCUGACCCGGCUGGGCCGGAGUCCCGGAGACCCCGCAGCCGUCUUCGUAAAAUCGGCCCCCGCCCCGCGGGACCGGCCCCAGCAGAGCGGUUGGGCCGGCGCCCUGGGUCGCGGACCAACGCUGGAGGGGCCUCGCUGCCUGGGCCGGGCGCUUCCCGGAUCCGCCUCGCCGAACCCUGCGCCCGCCUAAUCCCUGAUCUCCACGAGUUUGGACCUGCUGAACGGGCGAAGGAUGGCAGUUUAGUUAUUGUUCGUUGUUCAGCCUUCCCAACCCUUGGGCACAUUCAAGCACUGUAGAAAAAAAUCCAUUCCGCCAAGAGUCACCUUGCUUCAAAUCCCAGCCAGGUUGGGCCUUGCACACACAUAUUUCGAUAGAUAACAGUGUUUGAAGGGGAGGGGGGGAGCAAGUUCCAGGCAGA